GUCUAUGGCCAUGCCCCCCUGAACAAGCCCUAUCCCGUCUGACCUCGGAAGCUAAGCAGGGUCAGGCCUGCUUAGUACUUGAAUGGGAGACCACCUAGGAAGACCAGGUGCUGUAGGUA
rfam:Pteropus alecto contig19782, whole genome shotgun sequence.